rnacentral:rRNA from 1 species
UACGGAGGGUGCAAGCGUUAUCCGGAUUCACUGGGUUUAAAGGGUGUGUAGGCGGGCUGUUAAGUCAGUGGUGAAAUCUCAAGGCUCAACCUUGAAACUGCCAUUGAUACUAUCAGUCUUGAAUUUUGUUGAGGUAGGCGGAAUAUGUCAUGUAGCGGUGAAAUGCUUAGAUAUGACAUAGAACACCGAUUGCGAAGGCAGCUUACUAAACAAAUAUUGACGCUGAGGCACGAAAGCGUGGGGAUCAAACAGG